rnacentral:rRNA from 1 species
AUACGGAGGGUGCAAGCGUUACUCGGAAUCACUGGGCGUAAAGCGCGCGCAGGCGGCUUGAUAAGUUGGAUGUGAAAGCCUACGGCUCAACCGUAGAACUGCAUCCAAAACUGUCAAGCUAGAGUCUGGGAGGGGAAGAUGGAAUUAGUUGUGUAGGGGUAAAAUCCGUAGAGAUAACUAGGAAUACCAAAAGCGAAGGCGAUCUUCUGGAACAGUACUGACGCUGAGGCGCGAAAGCGUGGGGAGCAAACAGGAUUAGAAACCCGGGUAGUCC